CUAGAGGGAACCGCGCUACCUUCUUGCAUUCCACCUGCGUGCAUGGGAACAAACAAAACUCUGUCUUUAAUUGGGAGAAUAAGAACAUUUACUGUGAUUUUAAAGUGUAGAGCGGGACAUUUGAUUUACUCUCAGCGGAAUUGACCGGAGAAGGCAUCAGUUCAUGCACUGCACUGGCCCGCACCAUGAUUAGUAUAAGGCACAUUUCACGAAGCAGAACGCAGUCUUCAGAGAUAUCCACGUGAACGCUGUGAUACGUCUGACCUUCAGUCCGAAGAAGAAACCCAGACCAGUCUUAAAAGAA